rnacentral:lncRNA from 10 species
CCUAUAACCCAGCAGUUCUACUCCAAGGCAUAUACACAAAAUAACUGAAACAAAUGUUUAAACACAGACUUGUACAUGAAUAUUCUCAACAGUACUAUUCACAAUAGCCAAAAGGUGGAAACCACCCAAAUGUCCAUCAAAUGAUGAAUGAACAAAAUGUGGUAUAUUUAUGAUGGAAUAUUAUUCAGCCCUGAAAAGAAACUAUUGAUACGUGCUAUAAUAUAGAUGAAACUCAAAAACAUUAUAUUACAU